rnacentral:snoRNA from 1 species
CCUCCUUUUCUUGGCAGGGACCAGGCAUGUGGUUCCACUCCCUGUUAUGUUACAGAGGCAGAGGGAAAGGACUCCAGGUCCCUAGGCAUCAUAUCUUCACUGCCAGCAGCUUCCUGUCCACUGGUUCUGUCCUCAAGCACUGAGACACCA